UACGUAGGGUGCAAGCGUUGUCCGGAAUUAUUGGGCGUAAAGAGCUCGUAGGCGGUCUGUCACGUCGGCUGUGAAAUCCCGAGGCUCAACCUCGGGUCUGCAGUCGAUACGGGCAAACUAGAGUAUUGCAGGGGAGACUGGAAUUCCUGGUGUAGCGGUGAAAUGCGCAGAUAUUAGGAAGAACACCCGUGGCGAAGGCGGCUCUCUGGAACGCAACUGACGCUGAAGACGCGAAAGCGUGGGGAGCAAACAGG
rnacentral:rRNA from 1 species